rnacentral:rRNA from 1 species
AAUGUACGCUGGCGGCAGGCCUAACACAUGCAAGUCGAACGGAUCCUUCGGGAUUAGUGGCGGACGGGUGAGUAACGCGUGGGAACGUGCCCUUUGGUUCGGAAUAGCCUCGGGAAACUGGGAGUAAUACCGGAUAAGCCCUUCGGGGGAAAGAUUUAUCGCCAAAGGAUCGGCCCGCGUUGGAUUAGGUAGUUGGUGGGGUAAUGGCCUACCAAGCCGACGAUCCAUAGCUGGUUUGAGAGGAUGAUCAGCCACACUGGGACUGAGACACGGCCCAGACUCCUACGGGAGGCAGCAGUGGGGAAUCUUAGACAAUGGGGGAAACCCUGAUCUAGCCAUGCCGCGUGAUCGAUGAAGGCCUUAGGGUUGUAAAGAUCUUUCAGUUGGGAAGAUAAUGACGGUACCAACAGAAGAAGCCCCGGCUAACUCCGUGCCAGCCGCCGCAGUAA